UACGUAGGUGGCAAGCGUUAUCCGGAAUUAUUGGGCGUAAAGCGCGCGCAGGCGGUUUCUUAAGUCUGAUGUGGAAGCCCACGGCUCAACCGUGGAGGGUCAUUGGAAACUGGGGAACUUGAGUGCAGAAGAGAAAAGCGGAAUUCCACGUGUAGCGGUGAAAUGCGUAGAGAUGUGGAGGAACACCAGUGGCGAAGGCGGCUUUUUGGUCUGUAACUGACGCUGAGGCGCGAAAGCGUGGGGAGCAAACAGG
rnacentral:rRNA from 1 species